rnacentral:piRNA from 1 species
UGCUAGAUGAUGAGCUUAAGGGCAACAA